UCUACGGGCGGCAGCAGUGAGGAAUAUUGGUCAAUGGGCGAGAGCCUGAACCAGCCAAGUCGCGUGAAGGAUGACGGCUCUAUGGGUUGUAAACUUCUUUUAUAUGGGAAUAAAGUGCAGCACGUGUUCCUUUUUGUAUGUACCCUAUGAAUAAGCAUCGGCUAACUCCGUGCCAGCAGCCGCGGUAAUACGGAGGGUUCGAGCGUUAUCCGGAUUUAUUGGGUUUAAAGGGUGCGUAGGGGGUUAAUUAAAUCAGCUGUGAAAGUUUGUGGCUCAACCAUAAAAUUGCCGUUGAUACUGGCUGCCUUGAGUAUAGGUGAGGUAGGCGGAAUGCGUGGUGUAGCGGUGAAAUGCAUAGAUAGCACGCAGAACUCCGAUUGCGAAGGCAGCUUACUAAACUAUAACUGACACUGAAGCACGAAAGCGUGGGUAUCAAACAGGAUUAGAUACCCGUGUAGUC
rnacentral:rRNA from 1 species